UGCCUUUUACCUAUUCCAGUGAUGCCCACUUUAUUUUUCGAGGCUAGAGCCCUUCCCCUUGAACCAUGCUGAUAAUUUCCAAUGGAGUAAGUUUUGGGCAUGAUAUUCUGAGAAGACAGAAGAGAAUCAGGUAUUUACAAAAAGGCAGUGAAGGUUACUGAAGGAGGUGAAUUUUUAGUGUAUUCCAAAAGAGUGUGCUAGUAAUUAUGGGAAGAAAUUCAGGUUAAAAAAAAGGAUAUCAGCAAAAAAUAUACUGAGACCAAAAUACACUACAGUCUGGAGACAUCUUCCAAAGGGAAUCUUGGAAGCAGAAAAGUCUUGGACUUUUAAAAGCAGGUUUGACAAAGCAAUCGAAUAGAACUUACAUUUUUAAGCUGGUUAGCAGAGACCUUUUCCAUCUGUAGCUUCUCUGUGUAGCUUCUGUAUGUCUGUGUUCUGUACCUUCUAUUUCCCUGACAGAUUAUCUACUCCUCAUUAAAUAAGGAAGUUUCAGCUCCCUUUAUUGACUUUUCCUCAAUUUUCACUCAUUAUUUAACCCCAGAUUGAAAUUGCUGCUGCACUGCUUUGAUCUAUUCAGCUGGAAUUAAUUCCAGGUAAUUUUUCUCUUUGAGGUACAGUUUCUGUCUGUGGCCCAGCAAAGGAGGGAAAGGAAGAAAAAAACUGCAUUGAACAGUUCUGUGAAUGAAAAAAAAAACAUACAUUUAAUCACAGCUGGCAGCCUGUGGAUAGGACUCAAAACAAGGAGGCAUGCAAGCGAGCGCUGCAGGGAGAGCUAAUGUCUUUUCAUCAAGGCAAUGAGAUGUAAAAAAAAUGUUUUAGGCAUGCAAAUCCCUCUUUAGGCGUGAAAUGGAAACCACGAACUUCAAGCUCAAUACAGAGUGAGAAGGAAAAUGUUCUUCAAAAAAAUCUGGGAUUCAUCAUCUUCCAUCUGACUGCACCCUUCCCCUUGAAGAAGAAUGUGCAGGCAAAAUAGCUACUGAAAGGUCAGGGGAUAAAGAAAAGCAGCCCUAUAAACAGAAUGGCAUUUGUUCCUUCUGCCACUUCAAGUUGAGGAUUUCCUUGCUCUCUCCAUGCUUCAUUUGCAUAACAGAGUUGAUCAUCUGGCCUUUAUUACAGCAGAUUGAACGUAAAUCAUUACUGAAACAUAAAAUACAAUCCAGAGAACACUGCUCACUGACAUAAAAAUGAAGGGCUGUUGCUGCCCAAGGAUACCCGAGAUGGAAAUAAAAGCUCAUCAGUGUUGCUGAUUGA
rnacentral:lncRNA from 1 species